GUUAGAGGCCCCGCUUUUUAUGGCCCCCCGGACUUAACCACGUCACAGAAAUCAUCACAUUGUGUUGAGCCUCCUGGGUUUCUUUGGACUGGAAGCUCCCUGAGGGCAGGGUUAUCUUGUUCGUCCUUUCAUCCCCAGGGCCUGGCAUAAGACCUGGCGAAGAGCUGCUGCAUGCUAAAGCUUUGCUAAUUGAAUGACUGUGUGUUAUUUCUUAAAUUCAAUGAGAAAUCACUCUACAAAGUCCAGGAGAAUGAAAGUCUCAAUAACCGAGCUUUCUCUCCCCUGAGCACCUACACAGGAAACUCAAUUACAGUUGCAAGAGGCCUCGAAGACCUGCAGGAUUUAGAAGAAUCCAGGCAUCUCCGGGCCCCUGGCUGGGGCUUCUGCAUCUGACAAUAGAGAUGGCUUUGCUCAGGGGAAGAAUACUUUGGGCUCUGACUCACUCCAUGAGCACUGGGUAGCGUCAAGCAUUUGGAAUGGAUUCAGAUAAGGG
rnacentral:lncRNA from 10 species